rnacentral:rRNA from 1 species
AGAGUUUGAUCCUGGCUCAGAUACGCUAGCGGAGGCCCUAACACAUGCAAGCCGAGCGGUAGAGAUCUUUCGGGAUCNUGAGAGCGGCGUACGGGUGCGGAACACGUGUGCAACCUGCCUUUAUCUGGGGGAUAGCCUUUCGAAAGGAAGAUUAAUACCCCAUAAUAUACUGAAUGGCAUCAUUCGGUAUUGAAAACUCCGGUGGAUAGAGAUGGGCACGCGCAAGAUUAGAUAGUUGGUGAGGUAACGGCUCACCAAGUCUGCGAUCUUUAGGGGGCCUGAGAGGGUGAUCCCCCACACUGGUACUGAGACACGGACCAGACUCCUACGGGAGGCAGCAGUGAGGAAUAUUGGACAAUGGGUGAGAGCCUGAUCCAGCCAUCCCGCGUGAAGGACGACGGCCCUAUGGGUUGUAAUCUUCUUUUGU